ACAUUACAACAAAUGUUUAAAAAGCGCCCAAAAUCGAUUUGAAAGAUUUUCUGUCUAUAGUACAAUCAUGAUAGUAAUAGUAAGUGUGUGCCGCUGCAAUUAGAUUUGAUUACUGCAAUUUAAAAUUGUUUGGAGUCCAAGUAUCUUUUAAGUCAGCUGCCUGUGCUUGUAUUAAUAGUGCUUUGGUUCUCAGUUUUAUCAAGCUAAUGGACGUUUCUAAGCAAUUGCUUGAAGUUAAAAUUUUUUUAUGAACAGCGUUCCAAAGCUUGGCUGCAUUAAACAAAAAGGUAUUUGAUUUAUUUAGGAGAAUAACCAUUAGACUCGUUGCACGGUUUGAAAUGUUGAUAGCCUCAUAAAGGGAGUAUGGGCAGUGGUACUUGAUAAUCUUAGAGAAUUCUAAAAUACAGUGAUAUUUGUACAAGUUUUGAGCUGUAAGAAUUUUUAAUCUAUUAAAAAUGGGUUUUGUAUGCUCCUUUUCAAAGUGUUUAUGCAUUAUAUAUUUUCAAAUAUAGUUCAGAAGGUAUCGAGUGCCGAAUUCUGCAGAUUGCACCAGUCAUAGAUCGCAGUUUUUUACGGAUGUAGUGCAUGUGGGCAAUCCAGUUUAGCUUACUAUCUAUAACAACACCUAAGAAUUUGGUAUCCUUGACUUUAGUAAUAACCUUACCAUUGAUGAAUAUUGAUCUAGAUUCAUCUAGCAGGAUAGCAAAUGGUCUGGUCCGUGCACAGGUGUCAUCAUAUUCAGA